rnacentral:rRNA from 1 species
ACGUACACUCCUGCGGGAGGCAGCAGUGGGGAAUAUUGCACAAUGGGCGCAAGCCUGAUGCAGCCAUGCCGCGUGUAUGAAGAAGGCCUUCGGGUUGUAAAGUACUUUCAGCGGGGAGGAAGGCGAUAAGGUUAAUAACCUUGUUGAUUGACGUUACCCGCAGAAGAAGCACCGGCUAACUCCGUGCCAGCAGCCGCGGUAAUACGGAGGGUGCAAGCGUUAAUCGGAAUUACUGGGCGUAAAGCGCACGCAGGCGGUCUGUCAAGUCGGAUGUGAAAUCCCCGGGCUCAACCUGGGAACUGCAUUCGAAACUGGCAGGCUAGAGUCUUGUAGAGGGGGGUAGAAUUCCAGGUGUAGCGGUGAAAUGCGUAGAGAUCUGGAGGAAUACCGGUGGCGAAGGCGGCCCCCUGGACAAAGACUGACGCUCAGGUGCGAAAGCGUGGGGAGCAAACAGGAUUAGAUACCCCGGUAGUCCCAUG